rnacentral:lncRNA from 1 species
ACAAUAAAAGUUAUAUACAAACUAACAAUCUAAUCUUAGUUUCCCCUGAAUUUGCUCUUCUUCAUUUGCAGUUCACUGAAUUUAUGGUUCUAAACUGAUCCAGUGUGUGCAGACAAUUCAACUUAUGGGAGCUCCAGCUUUCCCUCUCUGAGUUGUGUCUGGGCCCCUCCUUUGUGUCCCUGAAAGGAAGAGGCUGCCAGGACUCAGUGGCAUCUGUGUGCUUGAAGGAAUUUGUCUGAGAUGACCUUAAGAUCAGUGAUCCAGCACUGAUAGAUGUGCCAUGUCCCAGACUCUACCCAGGCUGGGUUAGAAUCCUCCAUAAUCCUAUCGAUGAUAUAGACAAUCUCCAUCCGAGCGGCCACCUAAACUUCCCUGAUGUCACGGUAAGCCAGACAUACAGGAUACUGCAACAAGCAAGCAAGGAAAACCUCAUGCUGUGAGAUCAAUGAGGAUUUUGCCCUACUUUUAGGAAUGCCUUAUCAGAACUGAGAGUAGUAGAAGGAAACUAAACU